GACGAACGCUGGCGGCGUGCCUAAUACAUGCAAGUAGAACGCUGAAGAGAGGAGCUUACUCUUCUUGGAUGAGUUGCGAACGGGUGAGUAACGCGUAGGUAACCUGCCUUGUAGCGGGGGAUAACUAUUGGAAACGAUAGCUAAUACCGCAUAACAAUGGAUGACACAUGUCACUUAUUUGAAAGGGGCAAUUGCUCCACUACAAGAUGGACCUGCGUUGUAUUAGCUAGUAGGUGAGGUAAUGGCUCACCUAGGCGACGAUACAUAGCCGACCUGAGAGGGUGAUCGGCCACACUGGGACUGAGACACGGCCCAGACUCCUACGGGAGGCAGCAGUAGGGAAUCUUCGGCAAUGGGGGCAACCCUGACCGAGCAACGCCGCGUGAGUGAAGAAGGUUUUCGGAUCGUAAAGCUCUGUUGUAAGUCAAGAACGGGUGUGAGAGUGGAAAGUUCACACUGUGACGGUAGCUGACCAGAAAGGGACGGCUAACUACGUG
rnacentral:rRNA from 1 species